rnacentral:tRNA from 1 species
ACGGCGAUAGCUCAGCUGGUGAAGCAUCUGCCAGGUAUGCAGAGGGUCGCCGGUUCGAUUCCGGCUCGCCACG